UUUUAUAGCACAAGAUAUACGCCAGGGACUCUAGAUCCCAUCUGAUCUCGAAAGAUAUGCAGAGUCAGCUCUGGUUAGUUCUUGGAUGGGAGACCACCAAUUAAUACCAAAUGCUGUAAGCU
rnacentral:rRNA from 11 species